rnacentral:rRNA from 1 species
AGCGAACGCUGGCGGCAGGCCUAACACAUGCAAGUCGAACGAACUCUUCGGAGUUAGUGGCGGACGGGUGAGUAACACGUGGGAACGUGCCUUUUGGUUCGGAAUAACACAGGGAAACUUGUGCUAAUACCGAAUGUGUCCUUCGGGGGAAAGAUUUAACGCCAUUAGAGCGGCCCGCGUCUGAUUAGCUUGUUGGUGAGGUAACGGCUCACCAAGGCGACGAUCAGUAGCUGGUCUGAGAGGAUGACCAGCCACACUGGGACUGAGACACGGCCCAGACUCCUACGGGAGGCAGCAGUGGGGAAUCUUGCGCAAUGGGCGAAAGCCUGACGCAGCCAUGCCGCGUGAAUGAUGAAGGUCUUAGGAUUGUAAAAUUCUUUCACCGGGGACGAUAAUGACGGUACCCGGAGAAGAAGCCCCGGCUAACUUCGUG